AGGAAGAUAGCUCAAUUGGCAGAGCAGCGGUCUCCAAAACCGCAGGUUGCAGGUUCAAGUCCUGUUCUUCCUG
rnacentral:tRNA from 1 species